rnacentral:rRNA from 1 species
AGAGGACGACCAGCCACACUGGGACUGAGACACGGCCCAGACUCCUACGGGAGGCAGCAGUGGGGAAUUUUGGACAAUGGGCGCAACCCUGAUCCAGCCAUCCCGCGUGUGCGAUGAAGGCCUUCGGGUUGUAAAGCACUUUUGCAAGGAAAGAACCAGCCUGGGAUAAUACCCUGGGCGACUGACGGUACCUGCAGAAUAAGCACCGGCUAACUACGUGCCAGCAGCCGCGGUAAUACGUAGGGUGCAAGCGUUAAUCGGAAUUACUGGGCGUAAAGCGUGCGCAGGCGGUUCGGAAAGAAAGGUGUGAAAUCCCAGGGCUUAACCUUGGAACUGCACUUUUAACUACCGAGCUAGAGUACGUCAGAGGGGGGUAGAAUUCCACGUGUAGCAGUGAAAUGCGUAGAGAUGUGGAGGAAUACCGAUGGCGAAGGCAGCCCCCUGGGAUGAUACUGACGCUCAUGCACGAAAGCGUGGGGAGCAAACAGGAUU